GGAUCAAUUGGAGGGCAAGUCUAGUGCCAGCAGCCGCGGUAAUUCCAGCUCCAAUAGCGUAUAUUAAAGUUGUUGCGGUUAAAAAGCUCGUAGUCGAAUCUGUGUCCCGCACCGCCGGUUCGUCGCUCGCGGCGUUUAACUGGCGUGUUCGCGGGACGUCCUGCCGGUGGGCUUAGCCCUUUCACGAGGGCGGCCCAAUUAUAAUCCCGCCGUGGUGCUCUUCACCGAGUGUCGAGGCGGGCCGGCACGUUUACUUUGAACAAAUUAGAGUGCUUAAAGCAGGCUAAAAUUUUGCCUGAAUACUUCGUGCAUGGAAUAAUGGAAUAGGACCUCGGUUCUAUUUUGUUGGUUUUCGGAACCCCGAGGUAAUGAUUAAUAGGAACGGAUGGGGGCAUUCGUAUUGCGACGUUAGAGGUGAAAUUCUUGGAUCGUCGCAAGACGGACAGAAGCGAAAGCAUUUGCCAAAGA
rnacentral:rRNA from 1 species